rnacentral:rRNA from 1 species
GGAGCAACGCCGCGUGAGUGAUGAAGGUUUCGGAUCGUAAAGCUCUGUUGUUAGGGAAGAACAAGUGCAAGAGUAACUGCUUGCACCUUGACGGUACCUAACCAGAAAGCCACGGCUAACUACGUGCCAGCAGCCGCGGUAAUACGUAGGUGGCAAGCGUUGUCCGGAAUUAUUGGGCGUAAAGGGCUCGCAGGCGGUUUCUUAAGUCUGAUGUGAAAGCCCCCGGCUCAACCGGGGAGGGUCAUUGGAAACUGGGAAACUUGAGUGCAGAAGAGGAGAGUGGAAUUCCACGUGUAGCGGUGAAAUGCGUAGAGAUGUGGAGGAACACCAGUGGCGAAGGCGACUCUCUGGUCUGUAACUGACGCUGAGGAGCGAAAGCGUGGGGAGCGAACAGGAUUAGAUACCCUGGUAGUCCACGCCGUAAACGAUGAGUGCUAAGUGUUAGGGGGUUUCCGCCCCUUAGUGCUGCAGCUAACGCAUUAAGCACUCCGCCUGGGGAGUACGGUCGCAAGACUGAAACUCAAAGGAAUUGACGGGGGCCCGCACAAGCGGUGGAGCAUGUGGUUUAAUUCGAAGCAACGCGAAGAACCUUACCAGGUCUUGACAUCCUCUGACAACCCUAGAGAUAGGGCUUUCCCUUCGGGGACAGAGUGACAGGUGGUGCAUGGUUGUCGUCAGCUCGUGUCGUGAGAUGUUGGGUUAAGUCCCGCAACGAGCGCAACCCUUGAUCUUAGUUGCCAGCAUUCAGUUGGGCACUCUAAGGUGACUGCCGGUGACAAACCGGAGGAAGGUGGGGAUGACGUCAAAUCAUCAUGCCCCUUA